rnacentral:rRNA from 1 species
CCUACGGGAGGCAGCAGUGAGGAAUAUUGGUCAAUGGGCGCGAGCCUGAACCAGCCAAGUCGCGUGAGGGAAGACGGUCCUAUGGAUUGUAAACCUCUUUUGUCGGGGAGCAAAAGACGCCACGCGUGGCGUUCCGAGAGUACCCGAAGAAAAAGCAUCGGCAAACUCCGUGCCAGCAGCCGCGGUAAUACGGGGGAUGCGAGCGUUAUCCGGAUGUAUUGGGUUUAACGGGUGCGCAGGCGGAAGAUCAAGUCAGCGGUAAAAUUGAGAGGCUCAACCUCUUCGGGCCGUUGAAACUGGUUGUCUUGAGUGAGUGAGAAGUAUGCGGAAUGCGAGGUGUAGCGGUGAAAUGCAUAGAGAUCACGCAGAACACCGAUUGCGAAGGCAGCAUACCGGCGCUCAACUGACGCUCAGGCACGAAAGUGUGGGUAUCGAACAGGAUUAGAUACCCGGGUAGUC